CAGAUUAUACUCUAGGGAUAGACGGGACCCGCACAAGCGGUGGAGCAUGUGGUUUAAUUCGACGAUACGCGAAGAAGCUUACAUGGACUUGACAUCCUAUAAAUGAUUUAGAGAUAGAUUAGUGCUAGUUUACUAGAAUAUAGUGACAGGUGCUGCACGGCUGUCGUCAGCUCGUGUCGUGAGAUGUUGGGUUAAGUCCCGCAACGAGCGCAACCCUCGUCGUUAGUUGCUAACAGUUCGGCUGAGCACCCUAACGAGACUGCCUUCGUAAGGAGGAGGAAGGUGAGGACGACGUCAAGUCAUCAUGGCCCUUAUGUCCAGGGCUACACACGUGCUACAAUGGCCAGGACAAUGAGACGCAAUACCGCGAGGUGGAGCAAAUCUAUAAACCUGGUCUCAGUUCGGAUAGCACUCUGCAACUCGAGUGCUUGAAGCUGGAAUCGCUAGUAAUCGUAGAUCAGCAAUGCUACGGUGAAUACGUUCCCGGGUCUUGUACUCACCGCCCGUCACACCAUGGGAAUUUAGUUCACCCGAAGUCGGAACGCCAAAUUGGCUACCGCCCACGGUGGGCUCAGUAACUGGGGUGAAGUCGUAACAAGG
rnacentral:rRNA from 1 species